rnacentral:rRNA from 1 species
UACGGAGGGGGCUAGCGUUGUUCGGAAUUACUGGGCGUAAAGCGUGCGUAGGUGGUGAGUUAAGUCUGAUGUGAAAUCCCCGGGCUCAACCUGGGAAUGGCAUUGGAUACUGGCUCGCUAGAGUGCGGUAGAGGGUGGUGGAAUUCCCGGUGUAGCAGUGAAAUGCGUAGAGAUCGGGAGGAACAUCUGUGGCGAAGGCGGCCACCUGGACCAACACUGACACUGAGGCACGAAAGCGUGGGGAGCAAACAGG